rnacentral:rRNA from 1 species
GACGUAGGGCGCGAGCGUUGUCCGGAUUUAUUGGGCGUAAAGAGCUCGUAGGCGGUUUUGCAAGUCGGGUGUGAAAACUCCGGGCUCAACUCGGAGACGCCACUCGAUACUGCCAUGACUCGAGUCCGGUAGGGGAGUGCGGAAUUCCUGGUGUAGCGGUGAAAUGCGCAGAUAUCAGGAGGAACACCGGUGGCGAAGGCGGCACUCUGGGCCGGUACUGACGCUGAGGAGCGAAAGCGUGGGGAGCGAACAGG